CGGGACCGGUCUCUCACUGCGAAGACGCGCUCGGGGACCGGUCUCGCCCGCAAGGGACUGGUUGCCUCAGGGCUGCCGCAGCACUGCUCACUGGGGGACCGGUCUCUCCUUCCAGGGACCGGUCCCCGAGAGUAAAAACUCUCAGGACUUGUCCAGAAUUCCAGUUUUCGAACUUUUUAGAUCGAAAAAUAUUCUACAACCCUCCACCAAGUGUGGAAAAGCUCGAAAUACAUCCAAACACUCGAACCUCGCAAUUU
rnacentral:lncRNA from 1 species